rnacentral:tRNA from 1 species
GGUUUGUGGCUCAGCGGUAGAGCACUUGUCUAGCAUGUGCAAGACCCUGGGUUUGAUCCUCAGCACCA